rnacentral:rRNA from 1 species
GGGGAGCUUGCUCCCUGAUGUUAGCGGCGGACGGGUGAGUAACACGUGGGUAACCUGCCUGUAAGACUGGGAUAACUCCGGGAAACCGGGGCUAAUACCGGAUGCUUGAUUGAACCGCAUGGUUCAAUUAUAAAAGGUGGCUUUUAGCUACCACUUACAGAUGGACCCGCGGCGCAUUAGCUAGUUGGUGAGGUAACGGCUCACCAAGGCAACGAUGCGUAGCCGACCUGAGAGGGUGAUCGGCCACACUGGGACUGAGACACGGCCCAGACUCCUACGGGAGGCAGCAGUAGGGAAUCUUCCGCAAUGGACGAAAGUCUGACGGAGCAACGCCGCGUGAGUGAUGAAGGUUUUCGGAUCGUAAAACUCUGUUGUUAGGGAAGAACAAGUACCGUUCGAAUAGGGCGGUACCUUGACGGUACCUAACCAGAAAGCCACGGCUAACUACGUGCCAGCAGCCGCGGUAAUACGUAGGUGGCAAGCGUUGUCCGGAAUUAUUGGGCGUAAAGCGCGCGCAGGCGGUUUCUUAAGUCUGAUGUGAAAGCCCCCGGCUCAACCGGGGAGGGUCAUUGGAAACUGGGGAACUUGAGUGCAGAAGAGGAGAGUGGAAUUCCACGUGUAGCGGUGAAAUGCGUAGAGAUGUGGAGGAACACCAGUGGCGAAGGCGACUCUCUGGUCUGUAACUGACGCUGAGGCGCGAAAGCGUGGGGAGCGAACAGGAUUAGAUACCCAUAGUAGUCC